rnacentral:rRNA from 1 species
CCUACGGGUGGCUGCAGUGAGGAAUCUUGGUCAAUGGGCGCGAGCCUGAACCAGCCAAGUCGCGUGCGGGAAGACGGUCCUCUGGAUUGUAAACCUCUUUUGUCGGGGAACAAAAGACGCCACCCGUUGCGUUCCGAGGGUCCCCGUAGGAACAGCAUCGGCUCACUCCGUGCCAGCAGCCGCGGUAAUCCGGAGGAUGUGAGCGUUAUCCGGAUUUAGUGGGUUUUAAGGGUGCGCAGGCGGAAGCUCAAGUCAGCGGUAAAAUUGAGAGGCACAACCUCAUCGAGCCAUUGAAACUGGUUUGCUUGAGUGAGUUAGAAGUAUGUGGAAUGCGUGGUGUAGGGGUGAAAUGCAUAGAUAUCACGCAGAACUCCGAUUGCGAAGGCAGCAUACCGGCGCUCAACUGACGCUCAUGCACGAAAGUGUGGGUAUCGAACAGGAUUAGAUACCCCUGUAGUC